GUCCACGCCGUAAACGAUGAGCACUAGUUAUUGGGGGUAUUGACUCCCUCAGUGACGCAGCUAACGCAUUAAGUGCUCCGCCUGGGGAGUACGGUCGCAAGACUAAAACUCAAACAAAUUGACGGGGGCCCGCACAAGCGGUGGAUUAUGUGGUUUAAUUCGAAGCAACGCGCAGAACCUUACCUAGGCUUGAACUCCUACGAAUCCGGGGUAAUUCCUGGAGUGUCCGCAAGGAAUGUAGUGAGAGGUGCUGCAUGGCUGUCGU
rnacentral:rRNA from 1 species